rnacentral:rRNA from 1 species
GACGAACGCUGGCGGCGUGCUUAACACAUGCAAGUCGAACGGAAAGGCCCUGCUUGCAGGGUACUCGAGUGGCGAACGGGUGAGUAACACGUGGGUGAUCUGCCCUGCACUUCGGGAUAAGCUUGGGAAACUGGGUCUAAUACCGGAUAGGAGCCAUCUUUAGUGUGGUGGUUGGAAAGUUUUUUCGGUGUAGGAUGAGCUCGCGGCCUAUCAGCUUGUUGGUGGGGUAAUGGCCUACCAAGGCGGCGACGGGGAGCCGGCCUGAGAGGGUGUACGGCCACAUUGGGACUGAGAUACGGCCCAGACUCCUACGGGAGGCAGCAGUGGGGAAUAUUGCACAAUGGGCGCAAGCCUGAUGCAGCGACGCCGCGUGGGGGAUGAAGGCCUUCGGGUUGUAAACUCCUUUCGCUAGGGACGAAGCUUUUUUGUGACGGUACCUAGAGAAGAAGCACCGGCUAACUACGUG